AUACUUAAUCUGGCAGGGGAAAUAAACCAUGAUCAUGAAGGUGGUUUUCCCAGGGCGAGGCUCAUCCAUUGCACUCUGGAUGUGCUGACUCCUGCGAUUUUCCCAAAUGUGGGAAACUUGACUGCAUCAUUUGCGGGGGGGUAGGAGCUGCGUUCGUGCUCUCUCCUG
rnacentral:snRNA from 1 species